CCUACGGGUGGCAGCAGUAGGGGAUCUUCCACAAUGCGCGAAAGCCUGAUGCAGCAACGCCGCGUGGAUGACGAAGGUCUUCGGGUCGUAAAGCUCUUUCGUUAGGGAAGAAAAUGCGUAUAAGUAACUGUUCACGUAUCGACGGUACCUGUAUAAGCAGCCCCGGCUAACUACGUGCCAGCAGCCGCGGUAAUACGGAGGGGGCGAGCGUUGUCCGGAGUGAUUGGGCGUAAAGAGAACGCAGGCGGUGUUGUAAGUCAUAUGUGAAAGACUAGAGCUUAACCUGAGUAGGGCAUGUGAUACUAGAAUACUUGAGUACCAGAGAGGAGUGCAGAAGUCCAGGUGUAGCGGUGAAAUGCGUAGAUAUCAGGAGGAAUACCAUUAGCGAAAGCGGCAAUCUGGCUUGAAACUGACGCUGAGGUGCGAAAGCGUGGGUAGCAAACAGGAUUAGAUACCCGUGUAGUC
rnacentral:rRNA from 1 species